UAACUCAGUCAGACCACGCCA
rnacentral:miRNA from 1 species